UUAUUACCUAAAGGAAGGCACAGAGAAAGAAAAGAAAAGUUGUCGCCUCUAUUAGGAAGGGAGAUUGCGUGUAAGAUUUUCUUUUCACCAGUGGCCAGUCCAUGUGUGAAUCAGUGGGUCUUUCUCAUCACAGGAGAGGGGAACAAGAGGAAUCUGUCUCUCUUCCUUCCUCAUCUCCAAGCUUUGGCAAGGCAGUUGGGCAUCCUGGCCUGGGGUGUCUGAGGGGUCCUGAGGUUGGAUCCAGAGUAAUGCCACAGCUCUGUCUGCAUCACCGGCCACAGGGAUGCCCCAGCAGCCCCCCUUCCUUGGUUGUAAUGGAUGAAGCACUUUGGAUGAAAGGGGAUCUGCCGGAGAAGAGAUAGAGUGGGGCUGGUGGGUAUCAGUGUCCGUUUAUCUCCAGGAGGGCCAGACGCCGCCAGCGCAUGCCCAGGUUCAGUGAGCGCCCUGUAACCUUAGGCAAGCUGCGUUCUCGUUCUCUCCCGCGCGUCUCCACCACCACCCCUCCCACCUCACAGUUGGUCUCAUCGGUUCAGUUCCUCCAGGGACAAGGGUUGCAAAUGUCCUCAGUCGCAGUGCAUUUCACACCUCACCUGCAGCGGAGCAUCGCAGUUUGGCCUAGCCUACCUCAGCUGAGCUCGGAACGCUUACGUUGGCCUGUAGCUGGGAAAAAUCCUCCAUCACAAAGCUCAUUUUAUAACACGGUAUGGAAUAUCUCAUGUGAUUCAUUGAACACUGCACUGAGCGUAAACGCAGAGUCGCUUACUGCCACCGCGCAGAACCACCAGGUGUACUGCAGCAGCUAUCGCGAGCUCAGAAGAAGUUCGGAAUUCAAAAUCUGAGCCACCAGAAUCGUGAGUCAAAGAAACCUCUGUUGAGAUAAAUGACCCAGCCUGGGUAUUUCUGCUUAGCAACACAGUAAUGGACUAAGACAGGAUUACAUCCCAAGAGACCAGGCUGUUUGCUGCCCCCAGAAUAUCACUCUCUCCCUCUCUGCUGACCACUCCUAGCUCCAUUCUCAGGAGACAAAUCAGAAAGAGAAGAACUCUAAGAACCGGGGCGUCCUUUCCAGCUCCCGCCUGCCCUGACAGUGCAGACUGUGCUCCUUCCCAUUCCCAGGAAUUGAAGGAAGCCGCCCCAGAUCACAUCAUCAGGAAGUUUCAGAACCGUCGCAUGAGCCUGUAUCAGUCGAUGUUGGAUUAAGACAAUGUGUGCUAGCCCCUUAGCAAGCCAGCUGACUCGCUUCGGGUGAGAUGCAACCUCUGUGGGGCUCCUCAUGUCUGUCACCAGGAUAAUAAUACCUGCUCAGUGUGGUGCACUGGGGCUCUAGGAAGAUUGGACACGAGACCAUGUGGAAUCAUAUGUGACCCUCUAAGAUACACAACCCAAAACUCCCGAGCAUGUGCAUGAAGGGAUGUACAAACAUGCUCGUGGUAGCAUUGUUUGUUACAAAGAAAACUUGGAAGCAACCUCGAUGUCAUUGG